rnacentral:rRNA from 1 species
UCGAGCGCCCCGCAAGGGGAGCGGCAGACGGGUGAGUAACGCGUGGGAAUCUACCUUUUGCUACGGAAUAACUCAGGGAAACUUGUGCUAAUACCGUAUGUGCCCUUCGGGGGAAAGAUUUAUCGGCAAAGGAUGAGCCCGCGUUGGAUUAGCUAGUUGGUGGGGUAAAGGCCCACCAAGGCGACGAUCCAUAGCUGGUCUGAGAGGAUGAUCAGCCACACUGGGACUGAGACACGGCCCAG